rnacentral:rRNA from 1 species
GAUAUCUGGCCUGAGAUGCCUAGCCCGCCUCGCAAGAGUGUGUGUUGCUGGUGCGUUUCGGUCAUCCUUCUGGAGAGCACUCCUUCCCUUCACUGGGUUGGGAGUGGUAUCCAGAUCUUUUACUUUGAAAAAAUUAGAGUGUUCAAAGCAGGCAUUUUGCUGUGAAUACAUUAGCAUGGAAUAAUAAGAUAGGACUUUGGUUCUAUUUUGUUGGUUUCUAGGACUGAAGUAAUGAUUGAUAGGGAUAGUUGGGGGUGCUAGUAUUCAACGGCCAGAGGUGAAAUUCUCGGAUUCGUUGAAGACUAACUAAUGCGAAAGCAUU